CAAACAUGAAAGUAUAUUAACGCUCCACACCACGUAGAGGAAAGCUGAUGUGCAUAGGACGCGCAAUACGUGCACCUCCCAAAACCCUUAUGCGUAAAUCUCACUUGGAAAACUUCAAACCGUCAUACGUACCUGGAAACUAGUUUAUGCGUCAUGGAAAGUUAUAUGCAUUUUUGAAUGCGCAACAUCCAUAAUAAUAUGAAUGUCAUCACUGUUUUGUCUAAAUGUUGGAGGGUUCGGA